UGUGGUUGUUUUCAUGCAGCUGAGGUCAAAUCAUCACUAAAUGUUUCGUUCUUAUUGUUCCAGUUUUCAUCAUCAGAGCUCAGAUCUUCAUGAACAAAGCAGGUUCUUGUUGAAUCUGUUGUGUGCAGCAGCAGAGAGAGAACAGCAGACAGGAGAGAAGACAGUGGAGCUCUUAUCAUCAGUGUGCACAUAUCAAACAUUCCCUCUGCAUGGUGGUGGAUACAUGGAUGAUACAUAUCAGUCUGACUUCCUGCUGGAUCUGUGCUCCCAUGUGAAGGACUAUGAGACUAAAACAGGACUGAGUGUCCUUCCAUCAUUACAGUCAGUUUUCCAGUCAGCUGCAGUCUGGUCCAUAAAGCUCUCAGAGAGAAAGAGCUCCAUCCUCCUGGAAGUGCUGAAACUCCAAUCAGAGAAGAAACAAGUGGAGCUGAGAGGCUGCUCACAUGAAGAGAGUGAAGUGAGGAGUUUGCUGCAGUGUCUGCCUUAUAUCUCACAGCUCAGUUUUGAUCCAUGGAGCUCAGAUCUCCAUGAACAAAGAAGGUUCUUGUUGAAUCUGUUGUGUGCAGCAGCAGAGAGAGAACAGCAGACAGGAGAGAAGACAGUGGAGCUCUUAUCAUCAGUGUGCAGAUACAAAACAUUCACUCUACGUGGUGGUGGAUGCAUCUAUAAUACAUAUCAGGCUGACUUCCUGCUGGAUCUGUACUCCCAUGUGAAGGACUAUGAGACUAAAACAGGACUGAGUGUCCUUCCAUCAUUACAGUCAGUUUUCCAGUCAGCUGCAGUCUGGUCCAUAGAGCUCUCAGAGAGAAAGAGCUCCAUCCUCCUGGAAGUGCUGAAACUCCAAUCAGAGAAGAAACAAGUGAAGCUGACAGGCUGCUCACAUGAAGAGAGUGAAGUGAGGAGUUUGCUGCAGUGUCUGCCUUAUAUCUCACAGCUCAGUUUUCAUCAUCAGAGCUCAGAUCUUCAUGAACAAAGCAGGUUCUUGUUGAAUCUGUUGUGUGCAGCAGCAGAGAGAGAACAGCAGACAGGAGAGAAGACAGUGGAGCUCUUAUCAUCAGUGUGCAGAUACAAAACAUUUCUUCUAUCAGUUGAUGAUGAUGAUGAUGAUGAUGAUGUUUAUAAGGAACAUUGGUCUGACUUCCUGCUGGAUCUGUACUCCCAUGUGAAGGACUAUGAGACUAAAACAGGACUGAGUGUCCUUCCAUCAUUACAGUCAGUUUUCCAGUCAGCUGCAGUCUGGUCCAUAAAGCUCUCAAAGAGAAAGAGCUCCAUCCUCCUGGAAGUGCUGAAACUCCAAUCAGAGAAGAAACAAGUGGAGCUGAGAGGCUGCUCACAUGAAGAGAGUGAAGUGAGGAGUUUGCUGCAGUGUCUGCCUUAUAUCUCACAGCUCAGUUUUCAUCCAUGGAGCUCAGAUCUUCAUGAACAAAGCAGGUUCUUGUUGUAUCUGUUGUGUGCAGCAGCAGAGAGAGAACAGCAGACAGGAGAGAAGACAGUGGAGCUCUUAUCAUCAGUGUGCAGAUACAAAACAUUCCCUCUGCGUGGUGGUGGAUACAUGGAUGAUACAUAUCAGUCUGACUUCCUGCUGGAUCUGUACUCCCAUGUGAAGGACUAUGAGACUAAAACAGGACUGAGUGUCCUUCCAUCAUUACAGUCAGUUUUCCAGUCAGCUGCAGUCUGGUCCAUAGAGCUCUCAGAGAGAAAGAGCUCCAUCCUCCUGGAAGUGCUGAAACUCCAAUCAGAGAAGAAACAAGUGGAGCUGAGAGGCUGCUCACAUGAAGAGAGUGAAGUGAGGAGUUUGCUGCAGUGUCUGCCUUAUAUCUCACAGCUCAGUUUUGAUCAUCAGAGCUCAGAUCUUCAUGAUCAAAGCAGGUUCUUGUUGAAUCUGUUGUGUGCAGCAGCAGAGAGAGAACAGCAGACAGGAGAGAAGACAGUGGAGCUCUUAUCAUCAGUGUGCACAUAUCAAACAUUCCCUCUGCGUGGUGGUGGAUACAUGUAUGAUACAUAUCGGUCUACUUUCCUGCUGGAUCUGUGCUCCCAUGUAAAGGACUAUGAGACUAAAACAGGACUGAGUGUCCUUCCAUCAUUACAGUCAGUUUUCCAGUCAGCUGCAGUCUGGUCCAUAGAGCUCUCAGAGAGAAAGAGCUCCAUCCUCCUGGAACUGCUGAAACUCCAAUCAGAGAAGAAACAAGUGGAGCUGAGAGGCUGCUCACAUGAAGAGAGUGAAGUGAGGAGUUUGCUGCAGUGUCUGCCUUAUAUCUCACAGCUCAGCUGCGACCCAGAGCUCUUCCAGACUGUGUGUACAGUCGUCUGUGUGAGAUCCAGAGAGGAGGCCCAGCAGCUGGUCUCUCUGCUGCAGCUCCUGGACUUCACACUGCUGUUGUCAGGACAGUUAAAGAGGAAAACCUGUAGGUCUGUGGGCAGAGUUCUCAAACUGUGUCCCUCUAGAGUGGAUCUCACCCUCACACCCAGCAAGAUGUCUGUCAGAGCCGCCUCUGACCUCUUCAGACACACAACAAAACUCAACAGUCUGAGGCUUUCUAAAGGCAUGGCUUUGCUCCUGUCUCAGUGGGUAAGAAGAGACAGAGUGGGCUGUCCACUGGCUGUUGAAGAGCUUUACCUUCUGCCCAUGACAUCCAGUCCAUCAGACAGAGUGCUAUUGAAGGUUGUCAGUGGUUUGGCAGUCCUGCUAAGACACUGUGCAGUGGGACUGUUAGACCUGACUGAGUCCUGCAUCCCUGCUCAGUGUCUCAUUCCACUGCUGCUUCAUGAUGCUCCUCUGACAAUAAAACUGAAUGAGAAGAACAUCCAGCAGCUGCUGGUCCUCCUCCAUCAAAUCCAGGACAAUCACCUGACGCUGUCCUUCUUAAGGAAGACUGGUGGAGACCUGAGCUCCUGCUGUCUGAAGUGGGAGCUUCUUCACUACCUGCUACAGCAGCAGUCAACUCAGACCAUCACUGUGGACCUGAGGAAGAACCGCUUCUUACAGGAGAGCGCUGCACAGCUGCUUCCAUUUCUGGACAGGAUCAUGUUUAAAAGGCCCAGUCCCAGCUUUGUGAGGACUUCCAUCAGAGAGCUCUAUAGAGCUCGUGGUCAUAACACUGUGCCCCUUUACCUGAGGUCAUUUGAUCAUGUGAUCAACCUGAACUGCACAGAGCUGGAUUCAGAGGACUGUGAGGCUCUACUCUUCAUCCUCACACACAGUGAUGGAGUUAAACUGAGCCUCCUGUGGACCGCCAUACUAACAGAGGGAAUAAAGUCCAUCCUCUUCACGUUGGACAAAGUCUCUCAUCUCAGGAUUGACAGGAACCUGCUGCUGAUGUUCAUCCACUCCUGUGCUGCCUCUGACGACCAGCAGAGGGCGGCGUUAGGCCUGCUGAGGACUCUGCAGUACAGGGUGGAUCUGUCCUGCUCUUGCUAUGUGCAGCUAUCAGAGCAGGAUCAGACUGAGCAGACUCUGAGUCUGACUGCUGAGGACUGCCAGGCUGUCUCCUCCCUCCUGAGACACAGCAGCCGAGAAACACAGCUGGACCUGAGAGAUUGCCAGGUGCAGGACAGCAGCCUGGACCUGCUGUUUCCUGUCCCGGACAGAGUCCAGCUCAGAGUCAGUAAAACUGUCCUCCUCCAGCUGCUGUGUCUGGUCCCUGGAAACAGUGAGUGGGACACAGCGAGGCGGACCCUGUCCCUGUGUGGAGCUUUGGGUAGAGAGCUGGAUCUGAGUCACACCAAGCUGGAUCAUAGGACCUGUUGGGCUUUGGUCCAGAUGCUCGAUGUCUCUGAAGGACUGACAGAACUGGACCUCAGUCACUGUCAGCUGACUGACCAGCUGCUGCUCCCACUCAUCACACAUCUGCACAAAGUACAAGUGCUGGAUCUGAGUCACAAUAAGAUCACUGAUGCUUCCACUGAUGUGUUACUCCACCUGGUCUCCAUCAGCCCGUCCUCCAACACUGUUAGACUCUUCAACAACAUCAUAGAAGACAGAACUCCCUUUAAGGAACUCAGACAGGUUGAAAUAUGGUGACGCAGCCAUCAGCCAGCUGCUGCUCUGAUCAUCAGGGAUUAAUCAGAGAGUUGAACCCAAAACUAGGACCUAAAUUAGAGGAGAGAGAAGGCAACAACAGGUGAAGUCUGUGACUACUACUGAAGUGACUGUCCACAAGGUGGCACCAAUGACUUUUCACAUUCACAGUUUAGGUGUGAUUUUAGUCAUUUGUUAUUUAUUUACACAGUUAGUUGUUUUUAUUAUGUUCCAAAUAUCAUUUGUUAUUGUGCGGUUGUUGCAUAUUUUUGUUGUUAUACAUUAAGGAACUGUACACCACUUCCAGGUCAUUUCUAUGGAUACCAAAGAUGCUCAAACAUUUUCCUGACCACUUUUGGCCAAGUUUGAUUAUUUUUUUUUUACUUUUGUUUGGAUUGAUAUAUUGUGUAUUUCGUUUUGGCAAAUAAAUGAGUUGAAUACUUCA
ensembl:lncRNA